rnacentral:tRNA from 1 species
GGGAAUGUUGCUGAAUGGUAGAGCCCUUGUCCAGCACAUGAGAGGUCCUGUGUUCAAUCCCCAGCAUCUCCC